rnacentral:rRNA from 1 species
GAUGAACGCUGGCGGCGUGCCUAAUACAUGCAAGUCGAGCGAAUGGAUUAAGAGCUUGCUCUUAUGAAGUUAGCGGCGGACGGGUGAGUAACACGUGGGUAACCUGCCCAUAAGACUGGGAUAACUACGGGAAACCGGGGCUAAUACCGGAUAACAUUUUGAACCGCAUGGUUCGAAAUGGAAAGGCGGCUUCGGCUGUCACUUAUGGAUGGACCCGCGUCGCAUUAGCUAGUUGGUGAGGUAACGGCUCACCAAGGCAACGAUGCGUAGCCGACCUGAGAGGGUGAUCGGCAACACUGGGACUGAGACACGGCCCAGACUCCUACGGGAGGCAGCAGUAGGGAAUCUUCCGCAAUGGACGAAAGUCUGACGGAGCAACGCCGUGUGAGUGAUGAAGGCUUUCGGGUCGUAAAACUCUGUUGUUAGGGAAGAACAAGUGCUGGUUGAAUAAGCUGGCACCUUGACGGUACCUAACCAGAAAGCCACGGCUAACUACGUGCCAGCAGCCGCAGUAA